rnacentral:rRNA from 1 species
AUUGAACGCUGGCGGCAUGCCUAACACAUGCAAGUCGAACGGAAACGACGAAAACAAUCCCUUCGGGGUGCGUCUUCGGGCGUCAAGUGGCGGACGGGUGCGUAAUAUAUAGGUAACGUGCCUUCAAGAAGGGGAUAACAAUUGGAAACGAUUGCUAAUACCCUAUAUGCCUUUAUGUCAUAAGACAGCAAGGGAAAUAUUUAUAGCUUGAAGAUCGGCCUGUACAGUAUCAGUUAGUUGGUGAGGUAAUGGCUCACCAAGACAAUGACGCUUAACUGGUUUGAGAGGAUGAUCAGUCACACUGGAACUGAGACACGGUCCAG